rnacentral:rRNA from 1 species
CCUACGGGUGGCUGCAGUGGGGAAUAUUGGACAAUGGGCGAAAGCCUGAUCCAGCCAUGCCGCGUGUGUGAAGAAGGCCUUCGGGUUGUAAAGCACUUUCAGUGGGGAAGAAAGCCUUGGGGCUAAUACCCUCGAGGAAGGACAUCACCCACAGAAGAAGCACCGGCUAACUCCGUGCCAGCAGCCGCGGUAAUACGGAGGGUGCGAGCAUUAAUCGGAAUUACUGGGCGUAAAGCGCGCGUAGGCGGUCUGAUAAGCCGGUUGUGAAAGCCCCGGGCUCAACCUGGGAACGGCAUCCGGAACUGUCAGGCUAGAGUGCAGGAGAGGAAGGUAGAAUUCCCGGUGUAGCGGUGAAAUGCGUAGAGAUCGGGAGGAAUACCAGUGGCGAAGGCGGCCUUCUGGACUGACACUGACGCUGAGGUGCGAAAGCGUGGGUAGCAAACAGGAUUAGAUACCCUGUAGUC